GUUCCGUCGUUGCUCUGGUGCCCUGGACUGCUGUGAAUGUGUUUUUAUGCCCUACUAGUGUUGCCUGGGGGUGCUUUUAUGUGUGCACCCUGGAAGAUAGGUCCAGAAGCCUUGCGAUUUCUUAUAUUAAAGCUAAGUGUACUCGUGACCCUACCAGCACUUUUCAAGAUACUUUCGACGUAUUCAUUGCGGUGAACAACGCGGUUGGGACAGCACACUCACGACGUGGGAAGGUCACAGAAAUGUUGAAAGACAUCAGGUAAGUUACGCUAAAGUGCGUUUCAGAGCUCUUCAGUGACUUGUGUUUACUGCGAAACAGAUUGGGCAUACGCUUCACCCGUGCAACUUCGUCAUGUGCUCCACGGCUUUACGGCUGUGCCACUGUAUGUAAAAAA